rnacentral:rRNA from 1 species
UACAGAGGGGGCAAGCGUUGUUCGGAAUUACUGGGCGUAAAGGGCGCGUAGGCGGCCUGCUAAGUCGAACGUGAAAUCCCUGGGCUCAACCCAGGAACUGCGUCCGAUACUGGUUGGCUUGAAUCCGGGAGAGGGAUGUGGAAUUCCAGGUGUAGCGGCGAAAUGCGUAGAUAUCUGGAGGAACACCGGUGGCGAAGGCGACAUCCUGGACCGGUAUUGACGCUGAGGCGCGAAAGCCAGGGGAGCAAACGGG